CUAAUACUCCCUCCGUCCAGAAAUACUUGUCAUCAAAAUGAACAAAAGGGGAUGUAUCUAGAACGUCUAGAUACAUCCCCUUUUGUUCAUUUUGAUGACAAGUAUUUUCGGACGGAGGGAGUAGUAA
rnacentral:pre_miRNA from 1 species